UACGUAGGGUGCAGGCGUUUAAUCGGAAUUACUGGGCGUAAAGCGUGCGCAGGCGGCUCCUUAAGUCAGAUGUGAAAGCCCCGGGCUUAACCUGGGAACUGCGUUUGAAACUGGCGGGCUUGAGUGUGGCAGAGGGGGGGUGGAAUUCCGCGUGUAGCAGUGAAAUGCGUAGAGAUGCGGAGGAACACCGAUGGCGAAGGCAGCCCCCCUGGGCUAACACUGACGCUCAGGCACGAAAGCGUGGGGAGCAAACAGG
rnacentral:rRNA from 1 species